AAGCUGACGGACACGCCGCGUGAGUGAAGAAGGUUUUCGGAUCGUAAAACUCUGUUGUCAGAGAAGAACAAGUUGGAGAGUAACUGCUCCAGCCUUGACGGUAUCUGACCAGAAAGCCACGGCUAACUACGUGCCAGCAGCCGCGGUAAUACUGUAGGUGGCAAGCGUUGUCCGGAUUUAUUGGGCGUAAAGCGAGCGCAGGCGGUUCCUUAAGUCUGAUGUGAAAGCCCACGGCUCAACCGUGGAAGGUCAUUGGAAACUGGGGAACUUGAGUGCAGAAGAGGAGAGUGGAAUUCCAUGUGUAGCGGUGAAAUGCGUAAAUAUAUGGAGGAACACCAGUGGCGAAGGCGACUCUCUGGUCUGUAACUGACGCUGAGGCUCGAAAGCGUGGGGAGCAAACAGGAUUAGAUACCCUGGUAGUCCACGCCGUAAACGAUGAGUGCUAAGUGUUGGAGGGUUUCCACCCUUCAGUGCUGCAGCUAACGCAUUAAGCACUCCGCCUGGGGAGUACGGCCGCAAGGCUG
rnacentral:rRNA from 1 species